rnacentral:rRNA from 1 species
GAUGAACGCUGGCGGCGUGCCUAAUACAUGCAAGUCGAGCGAACGGACGAGAAGUUUGCUUCUCUGAUGUUAGCGGCGGACGGGUGAGUAACACGGGGAUAACCUACCUAUAAGACUGGGAUAACUUCGGGAAACCGUAGCUAAUACCGGAUAAUAUUUUGAACCGCAUGGUUCAAAAGUGAAAGACGGUCUUGCUGUCACUUAUAGAUGGAUACGCGCUGCAUUAGCUAGUUGGUAAGGUAACGGCUUACCAAGGCAACGAUGCAUAGCCGACCUGAGAGGGAGAUCGGCCACACUGGAACUGAGACACGGUCCAGACUCCUACGGGAGGCAGCAGUAGGGAAUCUUCCGCAAUGGGCGAAAGCCUGACGGAGCAAAGCCGCGUGAGUGCUGAAGGUCUUCGGAUCGUAAAGCUCUGUUAUUCGGGAAGAACAUAUGUGUAAGUAACUGUGCAGAUCUUGACGGUACCUAAUCAAAAAGCCACGGCUAACUCCGUG